UUCCUCCACCUGCAGGUGCCUCUGGUUACCUGUGUUUGCACAGCAACCAGAGCACAGCCCCUCUGUUGAGGGGGCUGGAGGGCAGAGCACUGUUCCAGAACGUUCCAUCCUGCCAGACAGACUGCCUGCAGCCCGCUGAGGGACACACUCACUUGGUCUGGUGUUUGGAGCCCUUCAGGUGUGCAUGGUACUGCUCUAUGGAGUUCAGGGUGACGUUGCAGAUGUUGCAGGUGUAGCUGCGCUUCAGGCCUGUGGAGAAAAGCAGCAGGCACAAGAAGCCACAUGGAUCUACCAGAAAGCAGGGGCAGGAAUGGGAAGGGCAGUGCUUGGCUGCUGUGGUGUGUCAGCACGUUGCAGCAGACUGAGAACCUGGAUCUCCACAUGGCAGAGUGGGACUGGGGAGCUAAAAAACAGAAUGUCAAGGCUACUCACAGUGAUGAACCAGGGGGAACCCUGCUCCCCCUCCCUGUGUUCUGUGCAGGGAAUUAGUGCUGUUCCCUGAUGCAGCUCUUCCCACUGGGAACUGGGCAGAUUCCAUGGCUGGAACUGGGCAGAUUCCAUAGCUGGAACUGGGCAAAUUCCAUGGCUGGAACUGGGCAGAUUCCAUGGCUGGAACUGGGCAGAUUCCAUGGCUGGAACUGGGCAGAUUCCAUGGCUGGAACUGAGCAGAUUCCAUGGCUGGAACUGGGCAGAUUCCAUGGCUGGAACUGGGCAGAUUCCAUGAACUGGGAUGGAGAUGGAGAGAGGAAACUAGCCUCAAAUGAGCAGCAGCAUGAGACCACAGGCAAUGAUCACUUCCAGGAUAUAAAAAUUACCACAAUUUGACCUCACUGGGGCUCAUCAAAGCUGCCACUUGAAACUGGUUUCAUAAAACUCCCCCAGCAGUGCUCUGGGGCUGAGCUCAGCCCUCCAGGCCCACCCUGAGCAUCCACACUGGCAGUUGCUGGGCUCUGGCUGUAUUCACAUCCCCUUCUCCAUCCUCAAGACACAUCAGCACUGCCUCCCCUGCAGCCUGACAUGCAUUCAUGUAAAAUUGAAUGUCCUCCUAUCCCCAUUAAAUAAAAUAUUAACAAGUCAAGUUAUUAAUGUCAUCCUGCAUAAAAUGAAUUAAAACCCAUUCCAGGGGAGUCCUUGUUAAACUGCUUCUUACUAACCACAAGUGACAGCACAGAAUGAGAAGUAUUUAUAAGGCAUACAAAGAAAUUAUGAGCUGAAAAAGGAAACGCAGCUCGUUGUCUGAUAAAGGUUCGUCUGCAGCACCACCAAUUCACCUGAGAACACAAAGUGACAUAAUCUCUGUGCCCCUGUCCAUCUGUACUGUGCUGCUGGGCUUUAUUUUAGGGAUUCAGAGCACCUGUUGCAGGGUUUGGCUGGCCCCAGCACCCUACAAACCAGCUGGGACUCCUGCCUGGGAGAGAGAAUGGGAGAGCUGGGCCAUGGGGGACCCCAGACAUGAAAUAAACUCAUGAGAUGUGACUUGAAACUUGACAUUCCUCCUGCCUGUGCCUGGGACAGCCUGGGGAGGGUGAGAGCUGGCAGAUGGAGCCCCAUGGCUGCCUCCAUGGCCACCCUGAGCUGCUGAACAGGCACAAGCUGCCAGAGCAGAGCCUGGAACCUGGGGGUUGGUAGCCACCAGGUUUUGUCUUCCCAUGAUCUGUGCCAGGGUGCAGGGGGAGCCAGGGGAGGCAGCUCUGCAGGAAGAAAACUCCCAAAUUGCUCCUCUUUCAGGGUGUGUUGCCAUGCUCCCCUGCCCUGCAGGAGCAGCAGGGAUGCCAGGCCAGCCCCACAGCAGGGUGGGUCCCAGAGCAGCUCUGUGCCAGGGCUGGAAAGCCUCACAGAACUGCUGGACCCUGCACUCCAUCCAGCCAAGGAAAAGGGAUCUCUGUGCCUUGUUUUGGGGUUUUAACUCAACACAGACUGCAGAAACAAUGCUCAUUUCUCCUUUUUUUUUUCCUUUCCUCAUUUUCAUUUCUGAGAAAAAAAUAAGACUUCAAAAUUGCAGGAUGAGCACUUGGUGAGAAGAAUCAAUGUUUUUGUUUCCUAUAAAUAUCAAUUGUCCAAAAAUAUACCUCUAUUCUUACUUCUCCAAAUAUACAUUCAUAUUUAUCAAUAAAUAUUUUAUUACAGCCAUUAUCAAAACAUCAAAGGCAGCUGAAAUGUUGUACUUCAACUGACACUGCCUGUUCCAGGCUCACACAAUGCAUCAAACGUUCAUCUCCCACACUAGUCAAAAUAGAAUUAAUAUUUAAGCUGUGAUGGGAGAAGCCACCGGGGAUGCAGAGGAAGGAGAUGACUUUGCAAUCCAGGGAAAACUGAGGCAGCAAAGACAGUGUGGAGCAGGGGGAGGAUGGGGAUGCUGUCCCCAGCACAGCCGUGUCCUGCUGCCACUGUUACCCUGCAGGCACACACGAUGUUACCUGGCAAGGUGAGCUUGGGUAUCAUUGUGGGGUGGCCACUGCUUUCCACGCCUGUCAAGAUCUACUCUGAGCUUGCAGCUAAAUGCAUCCAGGAGAGCACAGGCACAGAUGGACAAUGCUCACGACCUGGUUAGAAGAACUGAAAGGUUUCCCAGCUUGGCAGGCUCAGGGACAGCUGGUGCUGUGGAGCACAGGGUGUUGGGUACUGAGCCUCUGAAGUGCCCAGCCAAAGGGCCACCCCUGUUCCCCUGUACCAAGCACACACAGAGCCUGGACACAGCUCUGCUGUCCCCUCCCCUGUCACCCACAGACACUGGCAGGGCCACACUGGAUCCAUUGCAAACCCCAACCAUGCACAGCACCACCGUGAAGGCAGAAACCAGCAGCUGACGAGGCUGUGAAGGCCUCCAAUUUCAACUCUGCCAGGAGCUAAAUGAAUAAAACACUUCCCAGCUGAUUUAUUUACAGCUAAUGACAUCCUCAGCCACUCCUGAGCUUGGCACAGCUCAAAGUACUGAGCACUUUCCAUGUUAUUGUCCCAGGUUUUAUUCCCACAUUUUGCCAGCAGCGGGCAGUGACUCAGCCAACAUGAAUCAUUGAUGGCACCAUGAGUCACACUAGGUAGCACAGGAGGAUCAAGAUAACCAUUACAAGGUUUAUAGGAGAUCAAGAAAUGCACAAUAUACUGUACAGUCAUUAGUAUCUAAAGAAAAAUUAUUUCAUUUAGCAAGGAAGAAGACCCAGGUGUACCAAAAUGUUAUUGCAAAGCCUCACUGACAAACCAAGCUCUUGCACACAGCUCUGAAUCAAACUUGUCCUUCUUCCUCAGCUGCCUGAGUCAGGUCCCUGUGUGCACACACACUGUGACCCAGACAAAAGGCUCGUGCCUCUCCUGUGCCUCCAGCCCAGAGUCAGCAGGUACUUGUCAAGAGUCACUCCUGGACUGAGUCAAAUUGCACCUCUCCAUCACCAGCUCAGGAGGGCCUGGGGAUGCUGGGGGGUCCAGCCCUGAGACCACCAGCCUGGCUGUGGCUCUGCUCUGCUUGAGGGUGGCUCCCAGAGGGGUGUGAGCUCAGGCACAGUCCCCACAGGGACCCUGCACAUGGGGCCACCAUGGAUGGACUGACAGACAGAUGAAGAAAGGCUGCCCUCCCUUCAGCAGGAGCCAAAAAACUUGUGUUUAACAUCCCUGUGGCAACUGCUCAGCUCCUGUUGCUGCUGCUGCUGACACAGGGCCAUCACAGCAUUUUACAAACACUAAUUAAAUCAUGGAAGGCAGUUGUCCUGCUCUCCAUCAGGGAGAUGUAGGGAGUGCUCUGCCUCCAGCAACAUCCUGUCUGCACUUCUGUGUGGGGCUGAGCUGCAACGUGCUCUCCUCUCCCAGGGACAGGCCACACCUGCUCGAGGACAGGAGUGUGCACUAAUGGAAAGGACUAUUUUAGGAGGAGGCAAAAGAGAUACCUAGGAAAAAACUUUGAAAGGAUGCUGCUAAAACUGCAGGCUGGCAUUCCAGAGCAGGGGAUUUUUUUACACAACUGGGAGCCUCAUGAAGCAGUAACAGCAUCUCGGGCUCCCUGCACCCCUGGUGACUGCAGUGAGCAAUUGUGGGAAUCCAUAAAAUCAGGGGGUUUUAGGAAAGCUGCAAAAGGCAGCCCUUAGAGACAGCAGAACUGUGAUUAGAGCUAAGCAGUAGCCAUAAGAUUGGUCAGCAGAAAAAUUAUGUAAAAAAUAGAAAAGUAAGGACAAAUGGUCUGUGUAUUAAUGCUUGCCUAGAAUAACUCCCUAAGCUGCAGAAAAGUAUAUAUAGCAAGAUAUUCGGGAGUUCUAAGCUUAAUAAUGACGCUCUGUGCAUUGUGUUUGAAGGCCUACAACCAGGUAUUACAUUCAAAAUAAGCAAGCAUUGUUUUAACCAAAGGCACAUGUGCUUAUAGUGGUUGGAUAGAACUACUGUCAAUAUGCUUUUCUUUGUGUGAUUGGUCAAAAAGCUUUUAAAGUGAGUUUCAACAUUAAGUUCUUGAAUACAAUACAGGUAUUGUAUUCAAACUAAGCAGGCAUUGUUUUAAGCAAAGGCACAUGUGCUUAUAGUGGUUGGAUAGAACUACUGUCAAUAUGCUUUUGCUUUGUGUGAUUGGCCAAAACACUUUUAAAGUGAGUUUCAACAUUAAGUUCUUGAAUACAAUACAGGUAUUACAUUCAAAAUAAGCAAGCAUUGUUUUAACCAAAGGCACAUGUACUUAUAGUGGUUGGAUGGAACUACUGUCAAUAUGCUUUUCUUUGUGUGAUUGGUCAAAAAACUUUUAAAGUGAGUUUCAACAUUAAGUUCUUGGUCUGCUGCCUGUGAGCUGAUGGCAUCUCCCCAUUGUAUAACCAUGUAAUGAGACUGAUGCUGGAAAAUACAACAGCUCAAGACGUGUUCCUGGCAGUCCUGCUCAUGAUUUGUACAUAAACCCUGGCUGGUGAUAAACCAGGCUCCCUGCUCUCAGCCUCACCUCGCAGCUCCCCCAGGUCCAGGGUCUUCCCCAGCUGCUCCAGGAGGUCGGCCCUGGCCGCGUUCUUCUUGUGCUUUUUGCCGUCGUAGUGCUGCUGUGCCAUCAGG